AUACUUACUUGGCGGCGGAGACCCACGAUCCCGCAGGUGGUUCUCCCGGGGCGAGGCUCGGGCGUUGCACGCGGCCGUGCUGACCCCUGCGGUUUCCCAGCGCUGGAGACUCGGCUGCGCAAUUUCUGGUAGUGGGGCCUGCGCGCGCGCUCGCCUCG
rnacentral:snRNA from 1 species